rnacentral:rRNA from 1 species
UACGUAGGGCGCAAGCGUUGUCCGGAAUUAUUGGGCGUAAAGAGCUCGUAGGCGGCUUGUCACGUCGGGUGUGAAAGCCCGGGGCUUAACCCCGGGUCUGCAUUCGAUACGGGCUGGCUAGAGUGUGGUAGGGGAGAUCGGAAUUCCUGGUGUAGCGGUGAAAUGCGCAGAUAUCAGGAGGAACACCAAUAGCGAAGGCAGCUCGCUGGGACGUUACUGACACUAAGGCGCGAAAGCGUGGGGAGCGAACAGG